rnacentral:rRNA from 1 species
UGGCUCAGAUUGAACGCUGGCGGCAGGCUUAACACAUGCAAGUCGAGCGGAAACGAUGAUAGCUUGCUAUCAGGCGUCGAGCGGCGGACGGGUGAGUAAUACUUAGGAAUCUACCUAGUAGUGGGGGAUAGCUCGGGGAAACUCGAAUUAAUACCGCAUACGACCUACGGGAGAAAGGGGGCAACUUGUUGCUCUCGCUAUUAGAUGAGCCUAAGUCGGAUUAGCUAGAUGGUGGGGUAAAGGCCUACCAUGGCGACGAUCUGUAGCUGGUCUGAGAGGAUGAUCAGCCACACCGGGACUGAGACACGGCCCGGACUCCUACGGGAGGCAGCAGUGGGGAAUAUUGGACAAUGGGGGCAACCCUGAUCCAGCCAUGCCGCGUGUGUGAAGAAGGCCUUUUGGUUGUAAAGCACUUUAAGCAGUGAAGAAGACUCCAUGGUUAAUACCCAUGGACGAUGACAUUAGCUGCAGAAUAAGCACCGGCUAACUCUGUGCCAGCAGCCGCGGUAAUACAGAGGGUGCAAGCGUUAAUCGGAAUUACUGGGCGUAAAGCGAGCGUAGGUGGCUUGAUAAGUCAGAUGUGAAAUCCCCGGGCUUAACCUGGGAACUGCAUCUGAUACUGUUAGGCUAGAAUAGGUGAGAGGAAGGUAGAAUUCCAGGUGUAGCGGUGAAAUGCGUAGAGAUCUGGAGGAAUACCGAUGGCGAAGGCAGCCUUCUGGCAUCAUAUUGACACUGAGGUUCGAAAGCGUGGGUAGCAAACAGGAUUAGAUACCCUGGUAGUCCACGCCGUAAACGAUGUCUACUAGUCGUUGGGUCCCUUGAGGACUUAGUGACGCAGCUAACGCAAUAAGUAGACCGCCUGGGGAGUACGGCCGCAAGGUUAAAACUCAAAUGAAUUGACGGGGGCCCGCACAAGCGGUGGAGCAUGUGGUUUAAUUCGAUGCAACGCGAAGAACCUUACCUGGUCUUGACAUAUCUAGAAUCCUGCAGAGAUGCGGGAGUGCCUUCGGGAAUUAGAAUACAGGUGCUGCAUGGCUGUCGUCAGCUCGUGUCGUGAGAUGUUGGGUUAAGUCCGCAACGAGCGCAACCUUGUCCUAGUUACCAGCGGGUU